rnacentral:rRNA from 1 species
AUACGUAGGUGGCAAGCGUUGUCCGGAAUUAUUGGGCGUAAAGCGCGCGCAGGUGGUCCUUUAAGUCUGAUGUGAAAGCCCACGGCUCAACCGUGGAGGGUCAUUGGAAACUGGGGGACUUGAGUGCAGAAGAGGAAAGUGGAAUUCCAAGUGUAGCGGUGAAAUGCGUAGAGAUUUGGAGGAACACCAGUGGCGAAGGCGACUUUCUGGUCUGUAACUGACGCUGAGGCGCGAAAGCGUGGGGAGCAAACAGGAUUAGAUACCCUGGUAGUCCACGCCGUAAACGAUGAGUGCUAAGUGUUAGGGGGUUUCCGCCCCUUAGUGCUGCAGCUAACGCAUUAAGCACUCCGCCUGGGGAGUACGGUCGCAAGACUGAAACUCAAAUGAAUUGACGGGG